CCGCACUCUUGGCUUGUUUGGGUUUUUCUGUCUGUCUGCCUUUUCACAUUCGAGUGCUGUGUGCUCCCUACUAACCCCUCUCCCUCCCUCCUGCCCUCUCUGUCACUCGGAGUGGUACUGUUAACAAUUCUACAGGGCAGCAGAAGCGUGCACGACCGUUUGAUAGGAGAGUAUAGUGGGAGGGGGAGAAGAAUGGCGGCACACACGGUGCUGCCGAGCACCUCCCUCUUCCCUCCUCGUUGGCUUCCCUUUUCCUCUCACCCUACUGUGAUUUCUGCUCUUUGCUGAGGGCCGUUACCGAGUGAGUGAGAGGUGCAUGCUCUGGACGGUUUGGCACCGCUAAAGCACCUGCUAUUGCUGAUGCUGAUGACGUGCACGGCGGGUGGCUCCAUGCGCGCAGAUGGGCAGAGGGGACGGGAGAGUCUCACCCGCCCCCCGCCCCUCUUUCGCUGACUGUGUGUGUGGGGUGUGUGUGGGUGGGGGGUAGGGGCCACCUUUGCACAUGUGCUCCACCCACACACACACACCCCACCUCACCCGCACUCUCUCCCCCUCUUCCCUCCUCCUCAG
rnacentral:misc_RNA from 1 species